UACGAAGGGGGCUAGCGUUGCUCGGAAUCACUGGGCGUAAAGCGCACGUAGGCGGAUUGUUAAGUCAGGGGUGAAAUCCUGGAGCUCAACUCCAGAACUGCCUUUGAUACUGGCGAUCUCGAGUCCGGUAGAGGUGAGUGGAACUGCGAGUGUAGAGGUGAAAUUCGUAGAUAUUCGCAAGAACACCAGUGGCGAAGGCGGCUGACUGGUCCGGUUCUGACGCUGAGGCGCGAAAGCGUGGGGAGCAAACAGG
rnacentral:rRNA from 1 species